GAUUAGCAGGUGCAUACGCACGUACCAGGAGGCGGCGGAGACGACCCUUCAUGCGGCGACGGUCUCACACACCCACAUACGCGCUUUCCUUUUCUUUUUCUUUUGCUGAUGCUCAGCCUGCUGUUGGAGCUCCUCGUGAGCAUCGCGCUAUGCGUCGCGCUGGCGUACUUUACAUUUCUGAACGUGCCGGUGGAGGCGGAGGAGCCGGGGUCGACGGCAACGGCGUCAGCGGGUGACGGGGUCUCCGCGAUGGUGGGGGCUGCUCCCUCUGGUGCCCUCCCCGGAACCGGCAGCGAUGGUGCAGAGUACGGCCACGCGUACGACCCGCUCCUUCUCCUGCCGCACGAGCUGCCCCUCUACACGUCGAUCACUCGCUACGUCUCCCUGGCGGAGGACACGACGCUUGGCAUCGCCUACCGCUGGCUCCUCAUCAACGGCCUUCACUACAGCCCUCGCGAGGUGUACGGAGAGCGCCGGCUGCGCGAGUGGGGCUACUGCUACUCCAGCAGCGUCGGCGGACCAAGCGGCGGAAAGGAUGUCGACGGUGCUCUGAGCGGCGCUGGCAUGCGCGUCAGUGACCGCCCCUCAUCUGCGGUCGCCGCCUCGCUCUCCUCGGCGGGUAGUGCCAUGGCGGCUAGUCUUGACUCCUCACGUUGUUCUCGUCGCCGUCUGCGCCGCGGCGCGGCAGCGGCCGCCGCCGCCCCGCCAACGCCGCUGCGGAGGGAGAGCGCGCAUUGGGUGAAUGUUCUCAUCCGCUGUGCGGCCUUCCUGUGCCUCGGCGGUGGCACAGUGAAGCCGGAAGUGUGGACAGACCACCUACUCUACGGCGCAGAGAAGGUGUUGGAAAGCGUGAACGUGGGCUACGAGAACCGCAUGCGAGCACGUGCGGCGCAGGCGCAUGCCGUGGCGGCCCAACUCGCAAGCGCUGCCCAUCCAUCGCCGCCGCCGCACCGGGCCUCGUCACAGUCUGCGGCGCCGCUGCUUACAGCACCUCGAAAACCGCUCCUGCGCAUCCAGCUGCUAGAGCUCGGCUCCGGGCUUCUUGGGGGUACGCUCCGUGACGUACGCCGCCCCCCACUGAGCCUCCACCACGGGGCCAGUGACGCCUCCGGCAGCUCCGCCACACCGGCGAGAGCAACACCGCCAGCCAGACGUGCAGCGACUGCUGCUGCUGCCGGCUCACCGGGCAUGGCACCAUCGGCGGCUGGUUUUGCCCACCACCACCACCACAGCAACAGCAGCGUCAGUAGUGAUCACCGUCAGCAGAUAAGCUCGCAUGCCGCCCUCUACGCCCCCAGCUCCCUCCUCUCGUCCUCCGUGGCAGGCCUCAGCACCGCAAUCACAGAUGCGGUGUCUUCUGUCACGACUCGCGGCACUGACAGCGCGCAUCUCAGCGAUCCGGUGGCGGGCGCUCCUGUUGCAGACUACGCCGGCAGCUGCCCUUUGUUUACUGGUGGAGGCGGCGGAGCCAGCAGUGCAGGCGCUCAGCUUGGUGUUGUUCUCCCUCGCGUGGAGGGGGACGUCAUCUCAGUGGAGCAGGCCUAUAGUGAGGGUUGUCACAUGAGGCCACCCACCCCUGCCGCGUCGAACUCAACCCCCGCUCGCGCACUAUCCGCGGCCGCGUCUGCCUCGCCGCUGCCACGUGCAUCAGCGGCAUUCCAACUCCGCUGCUUCGCGGUACCCCUGCUCUACGAAGACCAGCGGUUUCACGUGCGUCUUGGCUGCUGCCUCCCCCUCGGUGCUCUCCUCCCCGUCUCGUUGUGCGUACCGCCGGACGUCCUUACGCUGAACUGCGCCGUCGCCGUACAUCGCGUCACCUUCACCGGUCACCUCUACGCCGCAUUCCAUGGGGCGCGUGUGGAGCUGAGCUUUCCCACCGCUCCGCUCUUCAGGGCAGUAGUGAAGGUGAUGCCCGACACCAGCGAUGCCAGCAGUGGGAGCGGGUCGGUGGCGGAGGUCAGUCACCACGGCGGCUGGGGCAUGCGUGCCGCCGGUGGCGGCGGCGUUCAUUCCGGUGCGGCGGCGGCGGCGGCGACGACGGCCUUCACCGCAACCUACACGCAGCGCAACGAGGCGACUGUCGUCGGUGGCUCCAGCAUUGACGGAGGCCGUGACUCCUACAACGCAGCCGCACGCCCCCCGCUUCCCCCACAGUCUGGGCUGUACAGUAGCGGCAGCAACGCAUCUUUAAGUCAUCAUCAUCGCAGCGGCAUGAGCGGCGGCGGCGGCACGUCAGCAAGCGGAUCGUGCUUGAACGAGCACAAUGAAAAAGUGCAGGAAGUUGUGCUGCUGGCGGUGCGCCGCCUCAUCGAGUCUCUGACGUACCCGAAAGUUCUGGUGGGUGAACUCGUGUGCCGUCGUCCCUCCGGUGCUGGCGGCACAGCGGAAGGCGGUGCGGAGAUGCAGCUGCAGCUGAGAUGGACUCGGCAGACCGCCUCGCUGCCCCUGUGCAUGUGAGAGGCGUGAGGGGAAGCCAACCCUGCCAGACGUGCGCGGGCAGCCCAGCAGAACUGCGCCUCCCCGCGUCCCCCUUCUCUGACUGUGGGAUGCGGGAAAGGGAGAGGGAGACAGAGCAAGAGAAGGAAGCUGUCACGCUUCUCCGCCACCACCACCCCUCGCAUACAGUUGCCUCACCGCCAAGCGUGCGUGCGUCCCAGAAGCUGCAACCGCGCGUUGCUGUCUCCACAGGCAUACGCUUGAGCGUAGAAAAGGAUCAGGUGUCACGCGAGAGCAGCAGCAAUGCACUGAGUGAAGCGCAAGG
rnacentral:misc_RNA from 1 species